GCCUGGGUGGCUCGGUCGGUUCAGCGUCUGACUUCGGCUCAGGUCAUGAUCGCGCGGGUUGGGAGUUCGAGCCCCGCCUCGGGCU
rfam:Felis catus isolate Cinnamon breed Abyssinian chromosome B3, whole genome shotgun sequence.